CGCAGCUAACUGUGUGAAAUCGUGUGAACUGCAGGACACAUGAACAUCGACAUUUUGAACGCAUAUUGCGGUCCAUGCAAAAGUUUUUAAACUUAUUUUUAAACUGCAUGGACCACGUAUGGUUGAGUAUCGUA
rnacentral:rRNA from 1 species